GCCGGGCUCAGUAACAUGGGCUUGUAACCCAAGUGGGGGCAUUAGUGUGGUGGAAUGUUGGGCUGUUCCAGAUGGUUGGGCUUGGUGGGCUAAUUUCUGGCCUGCCCUGUCCAAGCACAGAGUUGGGCCUUGUGGUCCAAUCGAAGGAAUGGGCUUCUGGGCUCCUAAAGCGGGGCAGACUGCGUGAGGCUGGUUUCACAGAACAACGAACAGUUUCCGCUCUGUGCAGUGGAAGGAUAACGAGUCGGUGCCUUCCAAGUCCAGUAACGCCUGAUGGGCUGCUCCAACUAAACCACCAUUUUU
rnacentral:SRP_RNA from 2 species